rnacentral:rRNA from 1 species
UACGUAUGGUGCAAGCGUUAUCCGGAUUUACUGGGUGUAAAGGGAGCGCAGGCGGCGCGUUAAGCCUGGUGUGAAAGCCCGCGGCCCAACCGCGGGACUGCAUUGGGAACUGGCGCGCUGGAGUGCCGGAGGGGUAGGCGGAAUUCCGAGUGUAGCGGUGAAAUGCGUAGAUAUUCGGAGGAACACCGGUGGCGAAGGCGGCCAACUGGGCUUUAACUGACGCUGAGGCUCGAAAGUGUGGGGAGCAAACAGG